rnacentral:rRNA from 1 species
ACCUGCGGAAGGAUCAUUGUCGUGACCCUGACCAAAAUAGACUGUGAACAUGUCAUCCAUGCUGCUGGGGUGGUGGGUAUCGCACUUACCUCCCAGCAAGGGUCAACUUCCUUGUAUACAAGGGAGUGGGCACAAAAGAACCCACGGCGCCGUAUGGCGUCAAGGAACACAUAUAUUGCCUUAUUCAGUAGUGUUACUGGCAUGCUGGAAACACACUGAGUAGGUACGCAUGUUAAUCAACAUGACUCUCGGCAACGGAUAUCUCGGCUCUCGCAUCGAUGAAGAACGUAGCAAAAUGCGAUACCUGGUGUGAAUUGCAGAAUCCCGUGAACCAUCGAGUUUUUGAACGCAAGUUGCGCCUGAGGCCUUCUGGUCGAGGGCACGUCUGCCUGGGCGUCACGCCAAAUGACACUCCACACCUAAGGUGGUGAGGAUGUGGGUUUGGCCCCUCGUGUUGAAUGGUGCGGUGGGCCUAAGUUGGGGGCUGCCGGCGGUGCCGAUCACAGCACAAGGUGGAUGACGCUUGUUGUUCUUCGUGCAAUGAUUUGGAAUUGCGUUUGGGCAUCUCUGGAUCCAUGGACUCCGAUGUGAAAGUCGGUUGUACCACGACCCCAGGUCAGUCGGGAUUACCCGCUGAAUUUAAGCAUAUCAAUAAGCGG